GAUGAACGCUGGCGGCGUGCCUAAUACAUGCAAGUCGAACGCACAGCGAAAGGUGCUUGCACCUUUCAAGUGAGUGGCGAACGGGUGAGUAACACGUGGACAACCUGCCUCAAGGCUGGGGAUAACAUUUGGAAACAGAUGCUAAUACCGAAUAAAACUUAGUGUCGCACGACACAAAGUUAAAAGGCGCUUCGGCGUCACCUAGAGAUGGAUCCGCGGUGCAUUAGUUAGUUGGUGGGGUAAAGGCCUACCAAGACAAUGAUGCAUAGCCGGGUUGAGAGACGGAUCGGCCACAUUGGGACUGAGACACGGCCCAAACUCCUACGGGAGGCUGCAGUAGGGAAUCUUCCACAAUGGGCGAAAGCCUGAUGGAGCAACGCCGCGUGUGUGAUGAAGGCUUUCGGGUCGUAAAGCACUGUUGUAUGGGAAGAACAGCUAGAAUAGGGAAUGAUUUUAGUUUGACGGUACCAUACCAGAAAGGGACGGCUAAAUACGUGCCAGCCGCCGCCGUAA
rnacentral:rRNA from 1 species